rnacentral:lncRNA from 1 species
AUUUCUCAUCGUCUGUGGAGAUUUCAUAGCAGAAUCGCGUAAUUCUUCCCGGGGCAAAAAGGAAAGAAACGCCAAAGAACAACCCAUCUCAAAUAAGCUGAAGCGAUACAUUGGACAAAGGGAACUUGAAGAUCUCGAGUCGAGAUCCAACUCUUCUAUCACACCUCUCUGAAAUAGUACAAGCAAGAAGAAGAAGUAGUCUCUUCCCUCCCCCGGAUCUCUGUAGGGCACCUUCGCAUCCCUGAUGCGAGAUUUGGCCGUAAAUCGGUACGAAAAUAUCUCGAAUCGAGAGUCACCUCAAGCCUACAUACCCCGAUCAGGAAGAGCACGCGCGAGCUGCUCAAGAUCUCGAAUCUAAACCGAGCUUCAGCUCUCAAACACCGACGUCACAAGAUUCAGGCUAUGCGCCUUCAACAAAGGUUCAACUACGGUUGAAUAACAACUCAGGCUACGUGCCUUCACCAAAAAGUUCAACCACAAGUUGAACUAGGACCUGGGUUAUGCGUCUUCAGCAAAAAAUUCAACUAUGAGUUGAAUAAGUACUCAGGCUAUGCGCCUUCAACAAAGGUUCAACUACGGUUGAACAGCAACUCAGGCUACGCGCCUUCACCAAAAAGUUCAACCAUAAGUUGAACUGGGACUCAGGCUAUGCGCCUUCAGAAAAAAAUUCAACUAUGAGUUGAACAAGUACUCAGGCUAUGCGCCUUCACCAACAAAAAUCACAAAAUUCAACUUCGGUUGAACAGUAACUCAUGCUACGUGCCUUCACCAAAAAGUUCAACUACAAGUUGAACUGGGACUCAGGCUAUGCNNNNNNNNNNNNNNNNNNNNNNNNNNNNNNNNNNNNNNNNNNNNNNNNNNNNNNNNNNNNNNNNNNNNNNNNNNNNNNNNNNNNNNNNNNNNNNNNNNNNNNNNNNNNNNNNNNACAAAGGUUCAACUACGGUUGAACAGCAACUCAGGCUACGUGCCUUCACCAAAAAGUUCAACCACAAGUUGAGCUGGGACUCAAGCUAUGUGCCUUCAGCAAAAAUUCAACUAUGAGUUGAACAAGUACUCAGGUGCCUUCACCAAAAAUUCAACUACAAAUUGAACUGGGACUCAAGCAAUGCGCCUUCGCCGACAAAGGUUCAACUAUGCGCCUUCAACAAAGGUUCAACUACGGUUGAACAGCAACUCAGGCUAUGUGCCUUCACCAAAAAGUUCAACCACAAGUUAAACUGAGACUCAGGCUAUGCGCCUUCAGCAAAAAGUUCAACUAUGAAUUGAACAAGUACUCAGGCUAUGCACCUUCGACAAAAGUUCAAUUACCGUUGAACAACAACUCAGACUACGUGCCUUCACCAAAAAAUUCAACUACAAAUUGAACUGGGACUCAAGCAAUGCGCCUUCGCCGACAAAAUUUUUUUUAGAAGGUUCAACUACGGUUGAACAGCAACUCAGGCUACGUGCCUUCACCAAAAAGUUCAAUUACAAGUUGAACUGGGACUGAGGCUAUGCGCCUUUGCCAACAAUUUUUUUUUACAAAGGUUCAACUACGGUUGAACAGCAACUUGGGCUACGUGCGUUCGCCAAAAGUUCAACAAGUUGAACUGAGACUCAUGCCAUAUGCCUUCACCAUCGCAAACCUAAUCUCGCUAAAAAGUCGAACGCCUUCGUCCUCAAAACUAAAGAGCAACGGACGGAGAAACAAGCUAAUCUCCAUCGCCAUUCAAGUAAGUAUGUCCAAGUUGAGCUAAAAUUCGGGCCACGUAAAGUUCGACCCCGGCCUAAAUACAAGGCCGUGUUUCUUACCAUCACGGCCAGUAUUCAACCACGCCUGAACUGGGACUAAGGUUAAGUGCCACAAUCGCCAAAUAAUGGCCACAACUUGUUUACACCAAGUAAAACAAAGCGAUAAACAAAAAGCGCUUAAUCAUGGCAAAGUCCAUCACCACUAAACAACCAACCUAGUUUCCGACUAAGGCAAGCGAGCGAUUCGACGACGGUCUAAAUCGCCUAACUAGCCAAGGCCACCAUCAUUAUCAUGGCCAAGACCACCGGCACUAUUACGACCAAAACACACAAGGGACUUAACACGCCUACCAGAGUCUCACUCUAAGGCAGAUCAUCCUUUGAACACAUGCAUAAGAAAAUGAUUGUAAAAAUAACAAGGGAAAACUCGGAAUAACACAACACCAGCAGUGGGAAAAGUAAGCCAUAUAUGAAUAUAUUUACAAUUUUGUGCAGGCAACGCCCGCUUACAGUCGGCCAAGGCCGCACAGUAAGAAAAAUCUCUACAAAAAAAGAGGAAGAAUCUAAAAAUAUCCAAGCUCCCAAUGGCGAACAAAAUAAAAAUACAUCAAAAUUCUCACUCGGCGCUUCCUACGCCACCAUCAGCGCCAUCAUCGACCCCUGGCAAAGCUGGAUCGAAGCCGCAGUCGGUACGGGCCUCACGAGCCUUUUAAUGGGCCUCACGAGCCUUUUGACGGCCCUCUUCAUAAGAAGCUUCAGGCACAAUGCCGGCCUCCCACAACCUCUUGUACAUCAAGCCAAGCCUCGGCAAACGUCCAAAAGUCACGAGCCCGGCCGAAAGAGGCAGCCUGAUCCCUUAAGCGCUGAGUCUCGGCCUCUAGGGCCGUAAUCCGAUCCGUCGCAAUCUGGACGUCCCCUUUAUAAACGCCAAUGCGGUCCCCCAGCGCUCCUUCCCUUAAGGCCGCAACAGCCCUCUCCAGCUCCCGUGUCCGCUCACGAACGCUGUCCGCCGACUCCAUGCUGACUAUGCAUUGGAGUGUGUGGCCCAUGUUGGACACCACUGGUUCUGACAAUGCACUUUUCUAAAACUGGUGUGAGGAAUAAAUGGGAAACAAAAUGAUUGAUCGUCCAGAAAAAGAAAUGAUUGAGCGUGAGGUGGAAAAGUUUUAGAAGAAUCAGAAGAUUAUGAAAAUUUACACAAAAAAGUUGCACAAGACAUACAGUGUAUCUGUUAGAAUUGACUUCACGAUAAUUAAUUCGGCUUAAAGUUUAUUUAUGACUAAUAAAUGGAAUUUAAGGAUUAUCCGAUUUAUUAGUGUAUCGGUCAAAAUUUGAUUCCACGAUAAUUAAUCCGAUCUUAAGUUUAUUUGCGACCAAUAAAUGGUACGACCAUUUAUUAAUAAUGGAAUCUAAGGAUUACUUGAUUUGGCCAGUGAGGACACGGCCUACCCGCUCCUACAAAAGCGUUCCCUCAAUGUGGUCGCAGCUACUUAGUGUCAGCUCAUCGCCAGCUCACCCAGCUCACAGCUAUAAAUAUUAAGUAAAAGCACCCUAGAAAGGGGGAUGCUUCUUCUUCUUUUUCACUACUCCUCCCAAGAAAAGGGAAAGAGAUAACAGAACUUCUACGAGGGGCAUAAAGGAUAUCAUUGUAAGGCUCUGAACCUCUCUAUGGAGAGGCAGACCAAAUUGAUCUCAUUAAUAAAAAUCCUCUACAUAUUUCUCCUUACUUCUAGUGUUAGUUUCUUUCUCAUGUCUUUCAUUUGUUCUUUUAAUUUAUUACAAUAUGCUAUGAUUGACCAUCGUUUAUUGUGAUUGUUUUACGCUUACAAAGUAUACGAUAAUUUUGAGCUAAAUAAUUUGCAAUUUUUUUUUGUUGCUUUUAUCGUCUACACUUUGUACAGAAAUUGAUACCCCCUUUCACACAAAGGUUCAGUAAGAUGUUGUUGAGCUAACCCUAGUUGAAAUAUUUCAUCCGUUUCACAAUAAACGGACAUAUUUUAGGGUGAAAUAAAAAAUUUAAAGUUAUUUUUUUUAAAUUGAACUUCUUUUUUAAACGAAUGGAG